GCUGCGCGCUUCGUGGUGGAACGCUUCUGUGCUCCUUGGGCAAAUUGUGCCGAUGUGCCUGAGCGCUUCUGGCGGCACAGAUCGGUGGUUUGGAAAUUCUCUUUGCUUUCCCAGCCUUGCCCCGUUCCGCUGCUCCUUUUGUUCGCUCCGUGCUCCUCUCCCGACACGUCGCCGCAGAUUCGGCACGCUUCGCCGCUGCGGGGCCUCCCCUGCGCUGCGUGCUCCCCUGUGCGCUCCCACAUGGCCGCGCUUCGGUAUUUCGUUGCUGAAGAUUGCUACAAAGUGAGGGAGAGUUACAGCUGUGGCUCUUGUGUUGGAAUGCUGUCAGUAGCACAGUGCCUCCGCUCUUACUGCGUUGGCCCGCGAUGGUGGUGGGAUGGCAGCAGGGCUGAACCUUCCCCCAGUAGUGCUUACACGUGGCUGCCGUGUGAUGGACGGCAGUCUGACAAAAUGGUGUCUGGAGUGGAAGCGUGUAUGAAGCAAACGUGUGUCACUGAAUUACUCCUCCGUGAGGAGAAAAUGGCACUUGCUGACCUUCCUUGACACUUGCUGAACGUCGAUGGAGAGCAAACAGUAAAAGUGAGCACAGUGUGGCAGUGGGUGGUGCACUGCAGGAACGUGAAAUACACGGAACAGCAGUGUGAAAUACACAGCAUUGUGAAAUACACAUAGCAGCAACGUGAAAUACAAGCCACAGCCUGGAUGGCCAGGCACAGCUGUCAUCUCUGCUGGUGUGGAUUGUUGCAAGCAGGGCAUGCAGGUUUUUGUUCAUUGCUGGCAAAAAUGCAUUGCUAGUGGUAGUGACUGUGUUGAAAAAUAGUAUUUUGCAGCUGAGAAUGUUGUUUACCAAGUAGAGCUAUUGUGCUCUUCGUAUCUGCUGUAGUUUCCAUGGAAAUAAAUAGGAGGCAUUACUUUCAGAGAAACCUACAUUUUUUUAUCUUCUGUUUAGCUCUGAGCUCACUUAGUGUAUGUUAUAAUUUCAUUUGGACUCUGAAUUAUUUCCUCACCUAAAUUUCAGGUGCUUGAAGCAGGAUCAUUCGAAGUAUUUAGAGGUGAUCUCCUAUUUCUUUCCUUCCCUGCUACCCAUAGAAUCAUUUGUUGGAAGGGACACUUAAAGGCCACGUUGUCCAGCUCUCCUGCAAUGAACAGGGACACCUACAGCUGAUCAGAGAGCUCAGAGCCCCAUCCAGCUUCUCCUUGAAAGUCUUGGCAAGUGCUAAAAUUUGAUUUUGUGAAUGGUUUGUACAUAAAUAUUAAGGUGAUUUGUUACACAACAGUCAGUUAUACUCUUGAACCCUCCUUUCUGAAAUUUAUUCCAACUGUAUCAGUGCUGAUGGUUGUCUGUGCUGUGAAACUCAUUAUAUUGAGUGGUAGGAAAGCACACUUGUGCCAGUUGUAGCAGAGAAAGUGGAAAAGAGCAAAGCCAUUAUUUGCACAGCCUUAAUGAGUUGUGAAUCCUGAAAGGCCCCAGUUUCUAGGUUUCACCAUAUGGAGAUUGUUGCAACAUGAAGGCCUUUGCACACUCUGCAUUCAGAUGUACCUCAGAAUCUGCUGCUCUCCUAACUGAAGAUGAAUAAAUGAAGAUGAAUGAAGAAAUACCCGUUCAUUCUAGUGAAGAGGUGAAGGAAUCCUAAUCCUUUUGAGAAGAGAACUUCUCAGCUUUGUGACGGACAGAGUUUUACCUCAUGUAUACCUUCAGUGUAUAACUUCAAUGUCCCCAAAGAAUUGGGCCCAGUGAGGAGCACACAGAACCCUGUCAGUGACACUGAAAUGAUGGAUAACAAGCAGCUUGGAAAACUGCAGACCUAUACAGGAAUGGUACUUUCUGGUUAAGGGCUCUAUUCUGGCAUAAAGAAAUGCCAUAGCUUCAGGAUCAGUUACCACUACAGUGGGCCACAGCUCUCUUCCAAGGCAGGUGUGUGAAUUUUAAACAAGGGGAUGCACCCAAGCCUAGAGAGCAUUUCCAGGUGCAGCAAGCAAAGAUUUCCUAGUGGUAAUUAUUUCCCACCAACUCAGAUGGAAGGACAGCGUGGGUGCCUGACAAACGCUGAUAAGGAGAAUAUGCCAAGUCAUAUGACCAGAUAAGUCAGCACAGGCAACAUAAAGGACCGCAGUUAAAAGCUAGGGCUAGGACUUGGAGGAUGUGUAGGCAAACGGAAGGAGAGCCGGGGGAAGAAAAGCCGAAAUGGAUUCAUUCUCCGUCCUGGCUGGAGGAGGAGAGGAGCGGGGACGUGCGGGCUGCCUGCAGCUGCCUCUGUCCGGUGAGAAGUGCUCCCAGCCCCGCGGCUGACUCGGGCUCAGGAGUCCGCGCGGACUUUCGCUCUAAGCUGCCAAUCAAACCGCUAACCGCCACCACCCUGCGCCGGCACCGACAUGAGCUGAGGCACUGUGUUGUGCCAGGGCCACCUCUGCAGACCCCUCGGCCACCUCAGCCCUGAGCAUUGGCUGAACACAUCUGGAUAUUUCUAUUCAGCUCUGCAAACAGACAGAGAUACUCCAAGACUGCGUGUGAGACCAGAUGACGUGAAACUUUCUACCAUUAAACCCCUGUUCAGCUGUAGUCCAGAAGCGGGCAGCCCACAGCAGCCUGGGGAUGCUGACAGAAGAAGCCGAAAUGUUUUCAGCCAAACCGAUUUCUUGCCGGCAGCUUCGGAUGCUGUAGCUGGAACCAGAGCAGCCCAAGGAGCGAAGCAAACAAUUAAAACAUUUACAUGUUUGCUUCUUGAUAGACAUCUCUACGAGGCGAGAUUCUAUGAAGCCUGAGUGACUUCAGAAGGAGAAACUUAUUAGAAGAAAUCUUUGCCAUUAUAUGUAUAGAAGAAUUAUGAUGGUGGUGCCCUGCUGUUGAUCAGUCAAAUCUGUGGUGGGCCUAGAGAUAAGUCCUGUAAGUGUGGUGUACUGUAAAACAGCGGCUCCCAUUCAUUAGUGGCUUGUGUGUAAUAAACCACCCAAUGGAGGGGGAUGGGGAAGAGAGGGAAAGAGCAGCUGCAGUGUGCAGGAACAAACAACACAACUCAUUCUUGGGAGCCAAAACUUUCUAAUUUGCUGCUGGGCUGCUGGGAGCACUCAAAUUCUUUCUGAUAAUGUGCUCGUGCCCUCGGUGUCUCUCUCUAUGUUUCUGCUCUCCAGAAUCUGGAAUAGUUUCACUCCAAACAACAAGUGUGGACGCUGCUGAACAGGGAGGAGGAGGGGAACACAGCCACCCAGUGUUUGCAGACUCCAGCACAGCAAAGUGGUGGACUCGAGGCAAGUUCUGCCAUGGAAUGGCUGCUGCACGUAUCUGCUUGUGCAGUGGGUAAACAAGGCAUCACAUGGGCUGCAGGCUGAGCACGAGGCGCGUGGCUGACCUAUACGUGUAUGAAGCAUGCCGGAGGGACAGCGUAUUCCAAACGUUGUUAGAGCCUGGUGGGAUAUUCGGGAACUUCCCUCAAAAAGCUCAAACAAAACAAACGUCAAAUUGAUUGUAACUGAAAAAUCAUUUGGCUUAAUUUCUCCUGUUUUUCCACAAUUUCCAGUGAGUAUUUACAUAAGCGUAUUUCUACGUUGCCUUGCAUUGGAAAUGGCUUGUAAGUAUGUUCAUCAAGAUGUCAGUCAAUUAUAACUUGUUGCACCUGUUUGGACCUCAGUAGUUACUAAUUGUAACUGUGGAUUUUCAGCUGUGACUGUGCUGGUGCUCAGCCCCAGACCUGACUGCCCAUAGGACAAUAUUUCAAACUAGAAAUUAAAAUCACUGUGUGUGUUUCACAACUGCUCUCAUAGACCAAACCUUUGUGCUAGAGCUUGUACUGUCACAAGAAAGGGAAAUUGAUUUUGGAUUGAUGCUGCUCAGAAGGACCAUUAUACCCUUGCAGGAUCACACUGACUGCUUUUUCAGUGAUGUGCCAGGCUGUGAUGGUGCUUGGACUGUCUCCUAACAUUUCUAUAGACAAGGGCUACUUAAACAGCAACUUCAGGCUUGGGCCAAACUGCAAGUACUCUUUAUGUAGACAGGCGAAGUGUCAGACACAAAGUUUUUCACUUUAGUGCAGGAGAUCCACUCGCUUUCUCUUCCCUGACCUGGAGACCUGUGCCAGGCAUUGCCUGAGUCUUAACCCUUCAAUAGGAGGUGUCUCUCUGACACCUUGGCCAUAGUACCUAAUGGGUGCAGGUAAUGGGUGGCCAGUCAGACCUGGCCAAAUCCUGUGCUAGAUCUGAGCACAAACCAGUUCUACCAAAGGUUUAGGCAGUGAAGGAGCUGAAACUGGUUGCUCACCUGCCAAGCUGUACAAGGCCAGGAUGAGGCCCAGCCCUACAAGCUCUGCUUGUAGCAUUUUGGUAUUUCUGAUAAAGUCAUUUGGCAUUUUGAUUUCCCCAUGGGACAAACAGUGGGACAAUCUAAAAAUAAUAAAUAGGCUUCCUGCACAAAUACCUUGAAUCAGUGGAAGCUGAUGUUCUGUGAGUUUGCUGUGAAUCUGUUACUGCUUUUAUAUUUUCAUAAGGAUGUAGUCUAACCAUUGUUGGACAGAGGUAAACAUGAGUAACCCAGUUUUGUUCUUACACUUGGGACACUGCAAAUAGCUCAGAAGUCCUGAAGUUUUUGUGUCUAACCAGAUGAAACUGGGGGAAAUGAAAUAUUUCAUACUAAACUGAGGCAAAAUGUGCUUUACUGGUCUAUAAGGCAGUCUAAUAAUUUUGGGUUCAAAGAUGUCUAAUGUUGAAUUAUUAAAUGACUCAAUCUAGUUUUCUUUAAGAAAGGGUGAAUUAGUGAUACUAAUCUAUCAGCUGGAUCCAAACCAUUACAAAAACUGUCCUAGAAAAUAGAAUGAGAAGUAGACCAAAAACUCAGAACUCAGUCUUGCAAAUAAAAUAACAUUUUGUGACUGGUUGUUCACUAAUGCAUGUGAAAGAAGGGCUACAUGUUACAUGUCUUUUGUUGUUGACAGUGUGCCCAAUGCUGUAUGAUAAAUGUUUGAAUAGUAUCACCUUCUGUUCUGCCUCCUUCACCUACAGGAGCAGCUGUGGUGGUGAAGGGGCAGCGUGAGGCACUGCCAGCCCUGACUUCCUGCAGGUGUCCAUCCGGCACCUGAACCUCGGGCAGCACCGCGUCUGUGUCCUGUGCCUGGAACCAUGCAAGAACAAAGUUUGUUCUAAACGUGAAUUUAAUGUGCUUUCAGGUUUGACAGCCUCUUUUAAAAGGAAACGUUUAAGUUGAGCGAAAGGCACAUUUGUCUCUCCAAAUAAAUGGAAUUAUGGUUCAAAGAUCUGACUUAAUCCCGAGGCUCUUGCACUGUGCAGUAAGUAGGAAAGAAAGGGGAUUGCUCCGAGGAGCAGGGGUUAGCAGGAUCAGGGGCUGUUUUAUAUCAUCUCAUUUUCCUUCUGGUGUUUAAUAUACUUUCUUCUCAACUUGCACUGGCUGCUUGUAAAAAGACCCAGCAGUAUCAUACAUUAACUAAUGGCAAAUAAACUAUUAAUUGAAACUAAUGAAGGAUGGUACAAGGAGUUCCCAUCCAGCUUUCCUGCUAGGCAAAUUUGAUUAUUGUUAAGCAAACAAAAAUGCCAUUCUUCCAGAUGUAUUCUCUCAUAUGGUUUCAUCCUUUUUCAGUUCAUUUCAGGACUUUUCUCAAGUGCAUUUUACUUGUUAUAACUAUUUGCUCUUUUUCUACUUAAAAAAAAGAAAGUAUAUACAACUGUGUUUUAAAAUCUACAUUGACAUUUCAGUGAUUUGAAGGAAGAUGUUUACACAGUAACAGUGCCAUCUAUAUUCAUUGUAUCUCUGCAAACAAAAGUUCUGAUAAAAUUAAAAUAUGUAUGUGAUGGG